GUGAGCAUAGUUCAAUUGGUAGGACAAUGCAUUAUUAUAUGCAGGGGUUGGGGUUCGAACCCCGGACAUCCCA
rnacentral:tRNA from 1 species